rnacentral:rRNA from 1 species
GUGUUCAACCGCCGCGGUAUUACGGAGGGUGCAAGCGUUAUUCGGAAUUACUGGGUUUAAAGGGUGCGUAGGCGGUUAAAUAAGUUGUCAGUGAAAGGCUACGGCUCAACUGUAGUAGCGCUGGCGAUACUGUAUAACUAAGGACAUGGGAGGGGUACCUGGAAUGUGUGGUGUAGCGGUGAAAUGCGUAGAUAUCACACAGAACACCGGAGGCAAAGGCGGGGUACUAGACCAUAGUUGACGCUGAGGCACGAAAGCGUGGGGAUCAAACAGGAUUAGAUACCCUGGUAGUCCACGCCCUAAACGAUGAUCACUAGAUAUUGGCGACAGACAGUCAGUGUCCAAGCGAAAGUGAUAAGUGAUCCACCUGGGGAAUACGGCCGCAAGGUUAAAACUCAAAUAAAUUGGCGG